AUUUCAUCGUGCACUUUCAGCUAACAGUCCAUUCCUGAGGGAGGUCAAGGUAGAAACUCAAGGUAGGAACUUGGAGGCAUGAGCUAAAGUAUAAGUCAUGCAAGGGUACUUACUGCUUACUGCCUCAGUCAUCCUGGUUUUUAUACAACCCAAGACCACCUGCCCAGUGUGGCACCACACUCAAUGGGCUGGGCCCGCCCACAUCUGUCAUUAAUCAAAAAAAAUGUUCCACGUGCUUGUCUAAGGGCCAAUAUUAUGGAGGCAUUUUCUCAAUUGCAAUCCUUCUUCUCAGAUGAUUCACAGUUCUGGAGACUGACGGGCAUGACAGUGCACUUGUUUGGCCUUGGUGAGGACAUCUCGGUGGAUGGCAUCUCAACAGAGGGAGUACAUACAGACAUUUGACACAUCAGAAAACAGAGGCUGGGAGAGGCUUGAUGCCCUGCCUUGGGUGACUCAGGAUUCUGGAAACACUAGC
rnacentral:lncRNA from 1 species